rnacentral:lncRNA from 1 species
AUGCCUUAUAAAUGCUGUGUACCAAACUGUAACAGCAACUACAAGUCCCAACUUGACGCAACCUCAAGUACGGCUGUAAACCAUGUAACAGUUUUCAAAUUUCCGAAAGGCGACUUGGGCAAAGAAUGGGUCAAAGCUAUUCCUCGUCAAGACUGGGCACCUACCAGUUCCUCCGUUGUGUGCUCAAAGCACUUUUUGGAUGAAGAGUUGGAAUUGACGAAAGUGAUUGUUGACGAGAAUAAAAUACGUAGGGAAGUCCCGAAAGAGCGACCAUCAUACAAGCCUGGCGCAAUCCCUAGGAUAUUUCCUAACUGUCCGAAGUACCUGAAUCUCACAAAGGAGAAAGAAAGGUCUGAUCCUUCCGUGAGGAAAGAUAAGUUUGUAGAACAACAUAACUUAGCUCAGGAGCAAUGGUUGCAGGAAGAUAUCAUCCCUAAUGCAACAGAGUUCCGUAAGAAAUUGAAGCAGUUUCAUACUCGGCUGAUGAGUAAAUGGCACCUCGCAGAAUGCGAAAAAAAAGUAAUUUUUUACAAACUUGACUUUACCGCUGAUGUUCCGCAAUUUGAGGUCAGUGUAACUGUUCAUGAAGAUUUAUCUACGCAGGUAUGCUUUGGUACAGCUCUGCUACUGAAAUCAGAACUUGGGUGGAUAUUAAACACCAAUUGUACACUGGAGCGCUGGUCACAGCUGGAGAACAUAUUGAGCAGAUAUGGUUCCUCAUCUUUCACAUACAGCAGUAGCUGUAAAGACUCGAUUUUGCAACUGGCUGAGAGAUUGAAAGACAUUAUUGAAGAUGAUGUGCAGCAUGAAGUUGAAUUACACAGUAAAAUUUUGUUCCUCAUUGAGCAAAUCAAACUAUGCUUCAUGGAGAAGAAAGAAUAUUCAUCAAAUGCUAUUCUAUCAGCAUUCCUCUUAUAUGAGCAAUCCUCAUCUGCGUACAGGGUUGUGAGGGAAAAUUUAUUGAUUCUUCCUCAUCCAAAGUACCUGGAUCAGUUAACGAGGAGGUGUCAGAUAUCUGCAGCAGAAGAGUCUGAAAAUGAGCAUUUUUUAGAGAUCAUUGUGAGCAGGCUGACAGACCUGCAGAAAGAGGUCAUACUGCAGCUGGAUGAAAUCUAUGUUAAGCCUCAACUGAUGUACAUUUCAGGUACAAUACGAGGAGCUGCAGAUAAUGUAGAUACAACUGUUGCCAGAACUGUCCAAACCUUCUUGAUGUCAUCUGCUUUCGGGCAUAUGAAAGAAGUUGUUGCUCUAUACCCCGUAAAACGUCUGACAGGGCAACAGCUUGCAGAUUAUUCCCGUAAAGUAAUUGCAUUACUAAAGAGACAUGGCUUAAGUGUAAUUGUUUUGAUCUCAGACGACAAUAGGAUGAACCAAAAUAUGUUCGAAGAACUGAAGCCUUUUCUUGAGGAAAAUGGCAUAAAAGCCAUGUAUGAUCCAGUUCAUAUUCUAAAUAAUCUGCGAAACAAUCUGCUCAAUAAAAGAGCUUUCAUGAUCCCUGCAUUUCAAGAUUUUCCAGAUCCUAGCAAAAUUCAAGACGGUGAGAAAGUGUUUGGAGUUAUGUUUGAAGAUCUAAUACGAUUAUACCAAAAAGAGGCUGACCAACUGCUGAAGCAAGCUCCAAAAUUGACUUACAAAGCGUUGUUUCCUAGCAAUUUGGAGCGUCAAAAAGUUUCUCUAGCUAUGAAGAUUUUUGAUGAUACAACAAUCGCUGCUUUGAAAAAUAAUAAAGCAGAAGAGGGAACAAUUCUUUUUCUUGAUCUUGUUCGGAAAUGGAUUACAAUCUUUAAUAUUAAAAAUCCACUCCAUGGUUUAAAAUCAAGAAACCCAUUAGCUAAGCCAUUUACCACUGAAAAUGAUGAGCGGCUUCAGUUCCUAGAAAAAUUCAUCCGAUGGCUUCAGCAUUGGGAGCACAUUUCUUUGACUUUCGACACCAAUUUUCUUACCAUCGACACGUAUAAAGCUGUUCUUCAGACAACAAGGACAAUGAUCGAUAUAAUCAAAAUUUACAUCCGGAAACCAAAUGUCGAGUAUAUUUUACCCGGAAAGUUUCAGACUGACAACACUGAGCAUCGUUUCAGCAACUACCGACAACUUUGUGGAGGAAACUACAAUGUAUCUGUCCAACAGAUUCUGGAAGCAGAGAAGAAGAUAAGGAUGAAAUCGCUGCUAGGAACAAAGUCUGCUCAGUAUGGGAAGAUACAAUUUCGUAUCCAAAAUAUAAAAGAAUUGUGUCCUCUGUCUGAACUCGAAAAUGUCAAUCCGAAUUGCGCCGUUGAGAUGUUUGAUAGUAUUUUGGAUCACUAUGAUGAAAAUGAUGUUUCAAUAGAUAAAUCUGCAUUACUCUUCACAGGUGGUUACGCUGCUUUUCAAGUAGCAAAUCAAAUAGAUUGCGACCUAUGCAGAAGAUUUCUACGAACUGAAGACACCAAAGAUAAUUACUUCCAGACUCUAAACAGAGGCGGGCUCACAAUUCCUUCAAUGCACACUGAAAUCGUCGCACAACAUGCCCAUACUAUCUUACACCUACUAAGGAGCGAAAAUUAUGAAACUGCCGUCUUGCGAGCAACCAACCAGAAGCAAAUUUUAAUGAAAUUAACAAGAGAUGUCCUGCUGCUGGACGGAAACUUUUCUGAACAGAAUGUUUGCACGUGCAAGAGAUCACAUUUUGAUUUGAUCGACAAGUUACUCCCCAUUUUUGCAAAUAUUCUGCUGAAGAAUUAUGUGAAGGAGCAUAACGACUUGGCAGCUCGAGGCAAGUACCAAGGCAAGAAGCGAAAAGCAGAUACUUUAAAAGAUUAA